CCCUUAGAUGUUCUGGGCUGCACGCGCGCUACACUGAAGCGUUCAACGAGUAUUCACCUUGCCCGGGAGGGUUGGGUAAUCUUUUGAAAACGCUUCGUGAUGGGGAUAGAUUAUUGCAAUUAUUAAUCUUCAACGAGGAAUUCCUAGUAAGCGCGAGUCAUCAGCUCGUGCUGAUUACGUCCCUGCCCUUUGUACACACCGCCCGUCGCACCUACCGAUUGAAUGGUCCGGUGAAAUCUCGGGACGGCGGCUUGGUCGCUUGCGUCCGACUGCUGAAACUUGAUUAAACCAUAUCAUUUAGAGGAAGGUGAANUCGUAACA
rnacentral:rRNA from 1 species